UACGGGGGGGGCAAGCGUUGUUCGGAAUUACUGGGCGUAAAGGGCUCGUAGGUGGCCAACUAAGUCAGACGUGAAAUCCCUCGGCUUAACCGGGGAACUGCGUCUGAUACUGGAUGGCUUGAGAUUGGGAGAGGGACGCGGAAUUCCAGGUGUAGCGGUGAAAUGCGUAGAUAUCUGGAGGAACACCGGUGGCGAAGGCGGCGUCCUGGACCAACACUGACGCUGAGGAGCGAAAGCCUGGGGAGCAAACGGG
rnacentral:rRNA from 1 species